GGGAAGGAGGGUGGAGGAAGGAGCUUGUAAAUGAGCAGCUGGUUUGCAGCAAAACCGCACCUCACUCUGCACCUUUGGAUCCCUCUCAGCCUGAGGUUAGCACAGCCAAUGUCCUCACCAGCGUCUGCCAAAGCCCAUGGAGAAGGCCAGCAGGAGCAUAUCACUGUGACUUACAACCCUUCUCUAGUCUGCUACAAUGGAAUCUUAAACAAGAAAAUUUUAUAUUUUGACUUGCAUCAUUGAGAAAAACACUGCCAACCUGAUCGUGGUUCCUUUGAAGAAUCACUGCAGCAGGUGCGAGAGAGGACUCAUGGAGCUUGCAGAUGAGCUAGCCCAGUUUUUAGAGUACUUCGUCCACGGCGCCAAGGUGUCUAGGGCAGAGACACCACAACCUCCUAAGGCUGUACAGGAAGCAUGGCUGGGGAGGCCUCAGGAAACUUAUAAGAAUGGCAGAAGGUGAAGGGGAAGCAGGCAUGUCUUACAUGCUGGAGCAGGAGGAAGAGAGAGAAAGGGGAAGGCUACAUGCUUUUAAACAACCGGAUCUCAUGAGAUCUCAGUCACUAUCACAAGAACAGCAAGGGGGAACUCCCACCAGGGCCCCCCUCCAACACCAGGGAUUAUAAUUUGACAUGAGAUUUGGGUGGGGACACAAAUCCAAAACAUAUCAGUAAGUCUUAUACAUAUUCUUACUUAUUUUUUGCCCAACUGAGAAGAGUUUGUUAAAAUCUUCUAUUAUGUGUUUCAAUGUAUGUUUCCUAUAGAUUUUACUUUAUAAAUGUAAUAAAAGUUCUGUAAACAUUUGUGGAUGUUUUCUGACUUGAAUUCUACAUUGUUACGAGAAACAGCCCUGCUUUCUUGUUUUUUUUGUUUUGUUUUGUUUUGUUUUGUUUUCCAAUUUGCUUGCUAUAUAUUUUCCCAGCCUUUUUUUU
rnacentral:lncRNA from 1 species